UUUUACAGCCAACCAUUCAUCCAAAAACACUACUCUUAUCCAUUCAUUCUCAUGCCAUUGAGUCGUUGUUCCUUAUCUCUCAAUAUUCAUACCUCUUACUCUCUUUCAAAAUUCAGCUAUUAAGAUACAACUUCCUUACUAGUUGAUUUGCUUUAACAAAAUCCAAACAAGAUGGCUGCAACUAUGAUAGGAGGUGCUUUUCUCUCUGCAACUCUUCAAACCUUAGUUGAGAAACUUGCUUCAACAGAGUUUCUUGAUUAUAUCAGAAACACCAAGUUGGAUGUCUCCCUCUUAAGAAAGUUACAAACAAACUUGCUCACUCUUCAGGCUGUGCUGGAUGAUGCAGAAGAAAGGCAGAUCAACAAUCUUGCUGUCAAAAAAUGGCUAGAUGACUUGAAAGAUGUUGUCUUAGAUGCUGAGGAUUUGGUCAAUGAAAUAAUUUACGACUCCCUUCGGUGCAACAUGGAGAAUACUAAAGCUGGAAACAGAACUAAUAAGGUGUGGAACUUUCUUUCAUCUCCUUUCAAAAACUUCUAUAUAGAUAUGAAUUCCCAAUUGAAGAUCAUGUGUGAAACACUUGAACCUUUUGCACAACAUAAAGAUACCCUUGGAUUGCAAACAAAAACUGCUAGAGUUUCUCGAAGACCACCUUCAAGUUCAGGGGUUAAUGAAUCUGUCAUGGUCGGUAGGAAUGAUGAUAAAGAUACAAUCAUCAAUAUGCUUGUAUCAGACUGUGGCACCAGCAGAAGUAAUAACUUAGGUGUUGUUGCAAUUUUGGGUAUGGGAGGUGUCGGAAAAACAACUCUUGCACAACUGGUCUACAAUAAUGAAAAAGUUGAACAACAUUUUGAUUUCAAAGUCUGGGUUUGUGUAUCAGAGGACUUCGAUGUUGUGAGAGUAACCAAGUCUCUCCUUGAAUCUGUUGUUAGAAAUACAACAUCAGCUGCUUCAAAAGUCUGGGAAAGCGAUAACCUUGAUAUUCUUCGAGUUGAAUUAAAUAAAAUCACGAGGAAGAAAAGAUUUUUGUUUGUGCUGGAUGAUUUGUGGAAUGAUAGUUACAAUGAUUGGGAUGAGCUAGUAAGUCCUCUUGUUGAUGGAAACCCUGGAAGUUCGGUGAUUAUAACAACGCGUCAACAAAAAGUUGCAGAGAUGACAAAGACAUUUCCUAUUUUUAAAUUAGACCCUCUGUCACAUGAAGAUUGUUGGUCUAUACUCUCAAAACAUGCAUUGGGUAGUGAUGAACAUCAUCCUAGUAAGAACACAACCCUUGAAAAGAUUGGUAGGAAGAUUGCAAGAAAGUGUGGUGGAUUGCCAAUAGCUGCAAAAACUCUGGGAGGACUUCUACGCUCAAGGGUAGACACAAUGGCGUGGACUGAUAUUUUGAACAGCAAUGUAUGGAACUUACCAAAUGAUAAUAUUAUGCCUGCAUUACAUUUGAGUUACCAAUAUCUUCCCUCUCAUUUGAAAAGAUGUUUUGCAUAUUGUUCAAUUUUUCCAAAAGAUUAUCCACUUGAUAGGGAGAAAUUGGUUUUGUUGUGGAUGGCAGAGGGCUUCCUUGAUUAUUCUGACGAGGUAAAAUUGCCAGAGGAAGUAGGUGAUGGUUGCUUUGCUGAAUUAUUGUCUAGGUCCUUAAUUCAACAAUCAAAUGAUGGUGCUCCUGGAAAAUUGUUUGUCAUGCAUGACCUUAUAAACGACUUAGCUACAUCCGUAUCUGAAAAAAUUUGUCGUAGGCCUGAAUGUGGUGACAUUCCUGAAAAGGUUCGACAUUUAUCAUAUAAUCAAGAAGCGUAUGAUAUUUUCAUGAAUUUCAAGCAUUUAUACAAUUUAAAAUGCUUGCGAAGCUUCCUACCCAUUUCUAGUAAUUGGUUUAGAGCUGCCUUGUCCAUUAAGGUGGUUGAUGAUUUGUUGCCAACAUUCAAAAGGUUGCGGGUGUUAUCGCUUUCAAAGUAUGUAAACAUCACCAAGCUACCAGAUUCAAUUGGUAAUUUGGUUCAAUUGCGAUAUCUAGAUUUGUCCUUCACUAAAAUCAAAAGCUUGCCUGAUACAGUAUGUAACCUUUACAAUUUGCAAACUUUGAAUUUAUUAGGUUGCUCCAGUCUCACUGAAUUGCCAGUGCAUAUGGGAAAUUUAAUCAGCUUACGUCACCUUGAUAUAAGUGGGACUGCCAUAAAAGAGUUGCCUAUGGAAAUUGGUGAGCUAGAAAACCUCCAAACUUUGUCUGUUUUUUUAGUGGGUAAGCGAAAUAAAGGGUUAAGUAUCAAAGAACUAGGGAAAUUCCCAAACCUACAAGGAAAAUUUACCAUAAAAAACCUUAACAAUAUCGUUGAUGCAAAAGAGGCAGAAGAAGCCAACCUGAAAAACAAAGAGAAAAUUGAGGAGUUAGAGCUAAUAUGGGGAAAACAAAGUGAAGAUUCACUGAAAGUGAAAAUUGUGCUCGAAAUGUUGCAACCACCAAUAAACUUGAAGAGCCUGGUCAUUGAUUUGUAUGGAGGGACAAGUUUUCCGAAUUGGUUGGGAAAUUCUUCAUUUUCUAACAUGGUGUCCAUUGAGAUUCGUAAUUGUGAAUACUGCAUGACACUUCCACCGCUAGGCCAACUACCUUCCCUCAAGAAGCUUAGUAUAUCGAAUUUGUUGUUAUUGGAGACCAUUGGCCCAGAGUUCUAUUGUGUUGAGGAAGGAGAAUGUUCCAGUUCUACCUUCCAACCAUUUCCUUCCCUUGAGCAUAUGAAAUUUCACAGCAUGCCAAAUUGGAAGGAUUGGAUUUCCUUUGAAGGCAUAAAUUUUGCAUUUCCUCGACUUAGAACUAUGGUGUUACGUGAUUGUCCUGUACUAACAGGAGAUUUGCCUGACCACCUUUCAUGCAUGGAAGACAUUGAAAUAAAAGGUUGUUAUAAGCUAUUGGAAACUACCCAUACUUUGAAUUGGCUAUCGGCAAUCAAAAUAGUGACAAUUAAAAAAGAUUUUAAUCAUGAAGUUUUUUCGACCGACUCUCCUUUGCAACAUGCAGCUGCUGCUGAAAGUUACCCAAUGUUUAUUUCUAAAACAAUCACGAGUAGUAUUUGUCUUACUCACUUGAAACUCAGACAUAUUCAAUCUCUUACUGCGUUUCCCACAAAUGGUCUACCCGCUUCAUUGCAGUCACUUGAUAUUGAUGGGUGUAGGAAGUUAUCCUUCAUGCCUUUCGAAACAUUUCAAAAUUACACAUCACUUGUGAGUCUUUAUAUGUGGGAUAGCUGUGAUUCACUUACAUCAUUUCCACUUGAUGGUUUCCCUGCGCUCCAAACACUUUCCAUUCAUGUUUGUAGGAGUAUGAAUUCCAUUUUUAUUUCAGAAAGUCCUUCUAAUCGGCAGUCAACCCUCCAAUCACUUAAAAUCACAUCAGUUGGAUCACUUAAUGUCAAUCUUCGAUUGGACACGCUCACCAAUCUUGAACAUUUGAAUCUUUGCUGUCAGGGAGAGUUGUCAUUUUGUGAAGGAGUCUGUCUACCCUCCAAAUUACAAACAAUUGAUAUUUCUUUCGGAAGAACAAAGCCGCAUGUAAAUGAAUGGUGUCUCCAAGACCUAACCGCUCUUUCAAGAUUGAAAAUUCAAGAAAGCGGUGAAAUGGAAAACACCUCGACGGUCGCUUCGUUGCUCCCCAUCUCCCUUGUGUCUCUCUGUGUCGGUGAUAAUAUGUCCUUUGAAGGAAGUGGGCUUCGACACUUCUCCUCUCUCCAAAAUCUCGACUUUGUUGAUUGUCGACAUCUAAAGUCAUUGCCAGAAAACUGCCUUCCUUCCUCGCUGAAAUCACUUCAAUUUGAUGAUUGUAAACAACUAGAGUCAUUACCAGAAGACAGCCUCCCUACCUCUCUUAAGCGGCUGACCAUCAGAGAUUGCCCUGUGUUAGAAGAAAGGUAUAAAAGGAAGGAAAAUUGGUCCAAAAUUGCUCACAUUCCUGUCAUACAAAUAAAUGACCAACUCAAAAUAUGAAGACAAGUUGCCUUCAUAAUGUUUCAGCUACGCUCUCAAGUAAAGAUUGCACAAAAUCAAAUCUUUUGCACAUUUGUUGAAUAAAGUUAAACCAAAUCUUUUACUGCUAUACUUGGGAUACUAUGAAUGGGAAAUUCAAGUGUGGUGCUUACUUUUUUGAGAUAUGAUUAUUCAACCGGAAUAACUAACAGAAAGAGGCCUAAGUGGAUGAAAAACAGCGCACUUGAUGAAUUGAAGACAAAAGGAGUGCAUGCUAUUGUUGUGGUUCUUUCUUCAUGUAAACUUGUUUCAGUGGAAUCAAACGCUUUCCGUUGAUUUUCGCAAGAUUUGAUUUGCGUAGCUAAUAUUAAGUAUGUAUUUGAUCAUCAUUUGAUUGCAUCUUUGUGUAUUCUUCAUAAGCUGCAUGAACCAGACAGAUAGAGUAGAAUGCAGUAAGCUUUGUAAUAUUUUCUUAUGAUUUGAAUGAUUCAUAAAAACUGUUGUUUGAAUACCUGUGUUCCACUGCUUUGUUAGUAUGUGGCAAGAUGAAGCAUAAAUAAAUGGAACAAGUUGAAGAAUCCAUGUUGUUCUUGGUUCUAAAUUCAUGCAACUUGUUUAAGGAACAUUAUCAGGAUUGAUGUUCUAUAACAUACUACAUUUUUUAGUUUGUUAGGUUGACAGUUUUGUGUAGUACUUUUCAAGUCAUAAUAGAUUACUUUUUUUCUCAUUUAUCUUCGGAUUUUAAACUGAUGCAUUGAAGACAUUGGUCAUACAAAGACAAUACUGUUUCAGUUCAGACAAUAUAAAUUAGAAGCAAGAAAAUGUCUUAUACUUUCAUUCACAGACAAAAGUCAUUCAAUCUCAAAUGCUUCUAUGCUGCAUGUAUAUCUAAUUUAUUUUAGACAAGAGUAAUCAUAAUUAUGUAUCCAAGAAAGUUACUUCAAAAUAUCGAUAUUUCAAGUAGUCUGUGAUCAUGCCUCCAAUGACUCAAUUGGAUCACUUAAAGUCAAGCUUUGGAUGGACAAACCCCCUGCUCUUGAAGAGUUGGAUCUGCAUUCAUCACUGGAACUGGAACUCCAUUUUGGAAGCAAUGUGUAUUAUGACUCAUAAUCUAGUGGUUAAUUAUUCUAGUGGUUAAU